UCCGUAGGUGAACCUGCGGAGGGAUCAUUACCGAGUUUACAACUCCCAAACCCCUGUGAACAUACCUUAAUGUUGCCUCGGCGGAUCAGCCCGCGCCCCGUAAAACGGGACGGCCCGCCAGAGGACCCAAACUCUAAUGUUUCUUAUUGUAACUUCUGAGUAAAACAAACAAAUAAAUCAAAACUUUCAACAACGGAUCUCUUGGUUCUGGCAUCGAUGAAGAACGCAGCAAAAUGCGAUAAGUAAUGUGAAUUGCAGAAUUCAGUGAAUCAUCGGAUCUUUGAACGCACAUUGCGCCCCCUGGUAUUCCGGGGGGCAUGCCUGUCCGAGCGUCAUUGCUGCCCUCAAGCACGGCUUGUGUGUUGGGCCCCGUCCUCCGAUCCCGGGGGACGGGCCCGAAAGGCAGCGGCGGCACCGCGUCCGGUCCUCGAGCGUAUGGGGCUUUGUCACCCGCUCUGUAGGCCCGGCCGGCGCUUGCCGAUCAACCCAAAUUUUUACCCAAGGUUGACCUCGGAUCAGGUAGGAAUACCCGCUGAACUUAAGCAUAUCAAUAAGCGGAGGAA
rnacentral:rRNA from 1 species